UUUCCGUAGGUGGACCUGCGGAAGGAUCAUUAUUGUAUAACCGAGGGGCGAGGGCUGUCGCUGACCCGAAAGGUCGUGCACGCCCGAGUGCCCUCACACACAUCCAUCUCACCCCUAUGUGCACCACCGCGUGGGUCCCCCUUUGGCUUGUUCGGAGGGGGGCUUACGUUUUCACACAAACUUUGUAUGCAGUGUAGAAUGUAUUUUUUGUUUUUGCGAUCACGCAAUCAAUACAACUUUCAACAACGGAUCUCUUGGCUCUC
rnacentral:misc_RNA from 1 species